rnacentral:rRNA from 1 species
AGGGUUUGAUUAUGGCUCAGAACGUACGCUGGCGGCACGCCUAACACAUGCAAGUCGAACGAAGAGCAAUACUUAGUGGCGAACGGGUGAGUAUAAUGUGGGUAUCUGCCUUUUGGUUUGGAAUAACACGGGGAAACUUGUGCUAAUACCGGAUAAGCCUUCACAGGGAAAGCUUUAGCGCCAAAAGAUGAGCCCGCACUUGAUUAGCUAGUUGGUAAGGUAAUGGCUUACCAAGGCUACGAUCAAUAGCUGAUCUGAGAGGAUGAUCAGCCACAUUGGGACUGAGACACGGCCCAGACUCCUACGGGAGGCAGCAGUGGGGAAUCUUGCACAAUGGGGGAAACCCUGAUGCAGCGAUGCCGCGUGAGUGAAGAAGGCCUUUUGGGUUGUAAAGGCUCUUUUCGUCCGGGGAAGAAAAAUGACUGUCCCCGAAUAAAGAAGGUCCGGCUAACUUCCGUGCCAGCCCCCCGCGUAAUAC